rnacentral:lncRNA from 1 species
ACUUCUCUUCGGCUCUUGUUCACUUGAAACUCUUAAUCUUCAAAGCUUUCGAACAGCGAUCCUUCUACUCGAAGCAAUCACCGGCACAAUCAUACAAGUAAACAAACAAAUAAAACUAAGAGCAGUACACCAAAACAAAAGGAAAGCUUUAAAAGAGCGUACUAACGACAAGGCUCGAUCUAAGGUCACGCGAACAUAAGGAACACUUAAAACGGAACUAUGGUUGAAAAGAUAAAGCUAUCGAGAGUUUUGAAUUAUAAAAGAAAGAUAAGAGCUACAAGCUUUAUUUAUUUUAGUUGAGAAAAGCAAUGUAAAGAUAUUUUAGAGAAAUAUCCUUAGUUAGAAUUAAUCAAGUCAUAUUUAUAUUUUCAUAAGAAAAGACGGUGUAAAGCUGACUCCAAUUUUAUUUAUAAAUAUUUGAGUACAAUUUAAGCAAAUUAAACAUUUAAUUUAAAAAUAAGAUACAUGUAGACAUCUAAGCGUAUAGCUUUACAUCUCGAGUUCAACUAAGUAGAUUAAAUUAAAAAACAUUUAUAUUUAUAUUAGCCAAAUUAAUAUUUAAUUAUGAAAACUCGAGAUAUAACCUAUACAGAUUUUAUUUAGAAAACAAAUUGAAUAAACAUUAAUCAAAUUGAAUUUAAUUUAUGAAACGCCGAGGUAUAACUCUAAGUGGCUUUUAAUUGGAAGAAUUAUUUAGAUAGGCAUUAAUCCAAUUAACUUUAGUUUAUGAAAAACCGAUAUAUAACCUAAUUGGCUUUUAUUUAGAAGAGGGUAUGAAGUAGGUAUUAAUCAAAUUAACAAUUAUGAUGAAAAAUGAUGUUUAACACUAAAUAGAUUUUAUUUAGAGAAGAACUCAUUUGUCAGGCAUUAAUCAAUUUUAAUAUAAAUUUUAUUUUCAAAAACAUGUGUGAAGGAAAACAUUACCACUAACGUGUAAUUUACAUCAUUAUGAAUCUAACGCAACUUGAACGGACAAAAACGGAAUUAAAAUGUAAAAUCUAUGGGUUAAACGGCGUUGCAGGGGUCUAAACGUAAUUAACCGUAGACUUGGAGGGUUAGCAAGGAAAUUUUGCAAGACACCAGGAAUAGUGCUCGCGAAAAGGUGAAAACUCGGGGUUAGGUCUGCAAAAGGUCAAGGCUUGGAUUAGAUUGAAAGAAUGCAAGAAUUACAGGGGCCUCACUGAAAGAUUUACAAGACACAAGAAUUAAGAAAAAGAAAAUAGGAGAGGUCAGGGGCUAGAUUGAAAAGUGGCACCUCAUCUUCUUCCUCACGCCAGGAGCAUGGCGCAGCUCCUGGCCGGCGGCCUGCCGGGGCUCCGGUGCGGCGGGGACUCGGGUGGGUGGUCCAGGCGGUGGUGGCCGGGCUGCUGGCCCCGACGGUGAUGUGCGGGCGGCAUCUCGGCCAGGAGCAGGCGGCGGACAGAGGGGCGCCUGCGAGCUGCGAGCAGAAACAGAAGGAGUCUGUUGCAACUGUUGCAGAAACAAGGAAAAGAGAGAGAAAGAGGGGAUCGUCGGAAACGAAGUCCGAUCUCGCGCAUGAACGGCAAAAUGGAACGAUAUCGACGAGACGAAUAAGAUGGUGUGCUCACUUUCGACCAGAGAUGAAUAAUGGCGGCGGAAAAGCUCGCCGGAGUUGGGGAAGACGACGGAGCCGACAUCGGAUUCAUGCAAUCCACCACACCACGGCGUAGAGCUUGAAGAGAGGAACUCCAUGGUGGUGUCGGUUUUCGCCGGAAGUCCACGGUUUCGCCGGAAAAGCUCGCCGGAGUUUGACGAAGACCGAACUUUGACUUCAGAUCUACGGAGUUAGGAGAGGUAACUCGUGAAAAGGUUUGUAGUGAAAUCCUCGCGUCGAGACGAACGCGGUGAUAUAUAUAUAGGCCACACUCGGAAAAAGAUAUUUUCGAGUUGACUUUUUAUUUUCAGAAUUUCUGAUUUUAUUUAUCUGCGCGAAAACAAUUCCAGAAAUAGCUGGACUCAUUUUCUAAGGUGAGAAAAAUACCUAGAAAAUUCCGAAAAAUCUGAGAUAAAUCUCAGAGAUGAAUUGGGAUGCAAGGAAUCCAAAUAAAAUACUUGGAGCUCGUGAAAAGGAUUCUAGAGCCUUCCAAAAAUUGGAUUUAGCUCUAGGAAAUGGAGAAUAAAUUCCAGAAAAAGAUGGAAAAUCCUCACAAGGAUCUGGGCAACGUCUAAACGCAUUUUUCAAACUUGUGCACUCAAGAAACACCAAGAUGCAGCGACAUGAAUGCACAGACAUAGAACAACAAUAUUUAAUUUAUAAAAGCAAAUAAUUAUUUUUCCUAUACUAAAUUUCCUGUAAAGAAAAUAAUUGUUGGGAAAAUUUUAAAAUUAUGAGAAAAUCAUUGUUUAUUUAUUCCUUUUAUUCACAUCCUGAAAUUCGGAAAUUUCAGGGUGUGACAACACUACCCCCCUUAACAAGAAUCUCGUCCCGAGAUUCGCAAAGGCUAGCAAGAGACAAAGGUUUAGGUGGGUAGCAUCCAACACUUAUUAGCUUCUUCCUAGAUCGUUCAUCCUUACGUAAGCUUCUCAAUCAUGCUUCUUUAUGCUUCACUACAUCACAUAAAACACUUUAGGGAUACUUAGUCUAAUUCCUCUUUUAAGUAUCCUUUCCUUUCCUCUGCUUCUUUGGCCCAUCUUUGAAGAAUUUUCUUCAUUUCUUGGUAAAGUGAUUUGAAUAGAGCUGAAUUGCUUCCCUCUGGCUCGACUAUCAUCCUUCAAGUCUUCAUACACAUCCUUUAGUCUUCUUCUCCAUCUGGUCCAAACGCUUCUUGGAACAUUGUCUGAUGAAAUGUCUCUCUUAUUUGCAGUAGAAACAUGUUAUUCUUGCUUUGGUACUUUGGCAACUAGAUGUGGUAUGGGAAUUGGCAUUGGAAAUUGGUGGCAUUCUUUCUUGACUGAGGCAUCCUAAUUAUUUGUCCUGACAAAGAGGCCAACUGAUGUUGUCGGUUUGAAUGCAGGGCUAUUGGAUCCUUGGCCCUGGGGUUGAUCAUCUUUCUCUUUUGCACACCAACUAACAAGAUGUUCGUUCUCUCCACACUUGAGGCAAUAUAUUUUGGCUCCAACGGACCUGGUCCACUUACACUUUAUUGGAUAGUUAUUUGUAUAAUGGCCUUCUUCACCGCAUCUGAAGCAUAGUCUUUUAUUACAUCCUUCUUGUCUUCCUUUCUGCUCCAUGGUAGCUAUCGGUGGAAUAGCUUGCGCAUUGGGAUUCUUCUUGAUGGGGUUGCCACGUGGAUGGUGAACAACUUUAGGCUAUAGUUGGUGGGAACUAGGCUGAGUACUAUUAUCUGCCAAUGGUUGUGGUAACUCCAUCUUCUUUUGAUUUGCUUUACUAGUUGGCUUCUUGGCUUGCCUACUCCUCCAGGGCUGAAAUUCUUUGAAAGAGAUACUCCAACCCUCAAAGUUCAUAGUGUGAGUACUAUCUUCAUCUUGAGUGACUUCCUCUUGGUCUAGCCCUUGGGCAUACAACUUCCUCUUCUUAUUGAUGUCCAAAUAAUAAUGUUGUCUAGCUUCAACUGUCAUUAAGCUAUCUUCUUCCUGGAGACAUGGAAGACCAUGGUGUUCACAACACUGGCGUGUUCCCAGAAUCUUAACAUCCUCAUGUUGCCUCUCCAUUUCUAGCUCUGGCGCUAUACGGCUUGGCUUGUUCCUUUGACGGUUCCAUGCUUCGGCAACUUGCCUCUUCAGUGGUCCAGUAGAAAUUCUAACUUUGGUCAUUUCCAUGUUAUGAGGGGUUGAUGUGUCAAUCUGUAUCCUUCCUUGCAAGACUUGAGCCUGCAUGGUUAAUAGCUUCUCGUUGUCGAACGGUGGUGGAACAGACGGAACCUGAUGGUCAUCACUAGUGAUAGGGCUGUGGUUCUGAGGAAGUGAGGCUUGCUCUGUGAUAUACUGAUGGAUAUUGACCAUGGUUUGAGACAUUGCUUCUAAAACAUGGGUUUGUGUUGCCAUAUACUCUAACAUCUUGCGUUCGAAUGAUGCGGCUACAGGUGGAAUGUUAAGAUCUCCUUCAUUGGCCCUAUCUUCAUGAUUUUCAUUGGGACUCGCCAGUUGAUUCGGUGAUAACGAUAGGAUCAGAAGAAAAUAGGAAAUGGAUAAAAUUGCAGAACAAGAUAGAGCACUUCAUGAUACCUUCAUCUUUUCUUGGGUUGUCAUCCGAGUAAGGUAGAAGGAAGGAUAGAAAGCAGCAAAGUGGCAAGUAAACUAGGGUAGGGCCUUCUUUUCUUCGACUUGCUUCUAUUCCGACGGUGAUAGUGGCGAUAGCCUCUGCUUGUUGAUAUUGGUGUUGCCUUCACUCUCUUCUUGAUGUCCAUCAGAAUUGGGAGAUAGAAAGAAAAAUAACAAGGAUGUGGGAGGUACAAGCAGACUCGAAGAGAGAAAAGAAAACAAAGAGGUGGGAGACAACAAGUUCCUUAUGGUAGAGUGGAUAGUCUUCCAUCUUUGCUUGUCGCGAGUAGAAUCUCGGUGCUUUCUUCAUCUUCUUUGAUUCUCGUAAUCAUCAUUAGAGUAAGAUGGAGAUCAAAGUAAAGCCUUCUAUUCUUCAACUUGCUUCUAGCGAGAUGGUGGUGGUGAUGUUAACUCUUGCUUGUUGACGUUGGUGUUGACUUUAGUUCUCUCUUUUCUGAUGCCCUUCAUUGGUUCGGGUAGAAAGGAAUGGAUGACAAGGAUAUGGGAGAUUCAAAAGAAGAACCCAGCUAGGCAACUGAUGUCAUUGUAGAUAGAAGACCCACAAUACACCAACAAUCAUUACAAAGAAACAAAUCAGACAAUUUCAUAAAGACAAGCAUCAUCAUGCAAACACAAAAUUCCACCAGUCAACACAGAGUCAAGAAACGAUGCUAAACAUUGUUAAUAAGGCUGCAAGGGGUACUCCUAAGCAGAUGUUGUUUGGUAAGGCUUCAACAUGCUUGGUGUAGGUACCUUCGACUUGUCAAGCGUCGACUCCAGCUUUUUGAUAGUGUUGGCGGUGGGGAUGGCAAAAUCUUCUCUAGGUGGUGAAUAGGUAGCUCCAUUCUUCAGAUGUCUUGAGCAGGCUUUAAGAUAGGUGGCAUGGAUCAUCUAGAUAUUUUUGAAUAAAAUGAGACAUUUUGGGAAUCAAAAGUCAAGGAAAAGAUUCCAAGGUAGCAUUUAUUUGAAAAGCAACGAGAGGUACAAUGGGGUAGAUGGAUAUACUGAAAAUAAAGUUAAGGAAGAGAUAGGUUUACAAGGAUAAGUAUGUAAGGAAAAUAUUAAGGAGAUAAAUGAACAGGGGAUGAGAGAGUAGCAAUAUCACUAAGAAAUCAAGGAGGUGUAUUGCAUCAAACAGGUAAGAUCAUUCAUCAAGAAGGAGAUGCAUGAUCAAGAUCAAGCAGUGAUCAAGGAGAGAGGAAAUAAAUAGACAAGGAUUGAGGGUCUAACAUUUGCAAGACAAGAAGUGCAAAUGAAAAGAGCUCAAGUUAUCAUGGAGGAUUGAGAAAAGAAAAUGAUCAAGGAGUGAGAAUAUUUUUCAGAAAGGUCAAGGAUAAGGCAGGAAUUGUUUAUAUAGUAAAACAGACCUUAGGAAGUGACCAUUGCUAUCUAGGCUUACGUCCUACAGUCGAUACGGCUCUGAUACCACUUCUGUCACACCCGGUUUUAAGGACAAAACCAAGUGCUACCUAUAUGUAUGCCAGGAUCAAGUUUCAUACAUAUAGUGACAUCAUUAGUGAAUAACAGCAACAGUAUCACGUAAAAAGAUACAAAGACUUACGAAACCAUCAGAGAUAUACAGCUUAAUUAUGGAAACGGAGGCUCCAAACUUCACAGGCAAUCGACUGGGGUUGCGUAUGCCUAGGACUCAGCACCAUCUUCACAAUAACUUCAUAGCAGCUUCUUCUUCUGAGCAACGUUGUUUAUAGCAAGGGUGAGUACUUGUCGUACUCAGCAAGUGUGAGGAGAAUAUGAAUGCAAGGCUUAAACAAGGAAAGGCUGACCGGUUGACUGCAUUAAGCAUUUUUAGUUGGUCAAAUUUUAUUAGCACCUGAUUACUAAGGUAUAAGUAUAUACCAACCCACAAUUAAUAGAGACAUAACCAUAAGCCAUAAGCAUAUGGCACAACCAUAACCAUAGCAUAAACCACAAUUUAAAUCCAUCUUCAAGUAUAUUACUCAUGUGAGGGUCCAGGCCGCUCUUAACCGUGAGCACGGCUGAUCGAUCAGUUUUACACUCUGCACAGGUGGCACAUAUUUACCCACAAGUCGCGUAAAAGUUCAAAAGAACUUUAGACCCAACCAUGCUUGUGCUGAUCAGGCACAAUACCACACUUCCAAGGUGUGAUUGCAUAGGGACGGUACAAGGCCUUUACAAAGAUUCACUAGUCAGUGGUAACCCGCUAAGGUUUCGGUGUCUGGCGCGCACCACCCAUCCCAGGUAAAAUGCAACGACUCAGUCCCCCCUCUUGCCUCAUCACGAGUAAGGUCACCCCAGACUAAGGUUUCUAAUUAAUCAGCCAAGACCAGAGCCAUUUAGUCUUGUGGUAGCACUGUUUUCCUGGGUGGUUCUCCAUGUUCUAAUUAACAUAAUGAUCUUGAAUUAAAGAAAUGUGUAGCAUAAAUAAAAUAAGUUCAUCAUCUUUGUUCAUUAGAACCACCAUAACCCAAGUAUAGCAGCUAAGCAUAGCUACCCAACAGAAAGGUAAACCCAGGUUGGCAAGGAAUAAUCAUAAAAACUAGGCACACCUUAAUAGGACCCAACAAAUUUAAUGCAAGCAUAUGCAAUAGUGAUUAAACAAAGUUAUUAGGACAAAAGCACAAGGACACACUUGCCUUUCUCCAACGAAAAGUUACUCUUACUUCUCUUCGGCUCUUGCUCACUUGAAACUCUUAAUCUUGAAAGCUUUUGAACAGCGAUCCUUCUACUCGAAGCAAUCACCGGCACAAUCAUACAAGUAAACAAACAAAUACAACUAAGAGCAGUACACCAAAACAAAAGGAAAGCUUUAAAAGAGCGUACUAACGACAAGGCUCGAUCUAAGAUCACGUGAACGUAAGGAACACUUAAAACGGAACUAUGGUUGAAAAGAUAAAGCUAUCGAGAGUUUUGAAUUAUAAAAGAAAGAUAAGAGCUACAAGCUUUAUUUAUUUUAGUUGAGAAAAGCAAUGUAAAGAUAUUUCAGAGAAAUAUCCUUAGUUAGAAUUAAUCAAGUCAUAUUUAUAUUUUCAUAAGAAAAGACGGUGUAAAGCUGACUCCAAUUUUAUUUAUAAAUAUUUGAGUACAAUUUAAGCAAAUUAAACAUUUAAUUUAAAAAUAAGAUACAUGUAGACAUCUAAGCGUAUAGCUUUACAUCUCGAGUUCAACUAAGUAGAUUAAAUUAAAAACACAUUUAUAUUUAUAUUAGCCAAAUUAAUAUUUAAUUAUGAAAACUCGAGAUAUAACCUAUACAGAUUUUAUUUAGAAAACAAAUUGAAUAAACAUUAAUCAAAUUGAAUUUAAUUUAUGAAACGCCGAGGUAUAACUCUAAGUGGCUUUUAAUUGGAAGAAUUAUUUAGAUAGGCAUUAAUCCAAUUAACUUUAGUUUAUGAAAAACCGAUAUAUAACCUAAUUGGCUUUUAUUUAGAAGAGGGUAUGAAGUAGGUAUUAAUCAAAUUAACAAUUAUGAUGAAAAAUGAUGUUUAACACUAAAUAGAUUUUAUUUAGAGAAGAACUCAUUUGUCAGGCAUUAAUCAAUUUUAAUAUAAAUUUUAUUUUCAAAACAUUUGUGAAGGAAAACAUUACCACUAACGUGUAAUUUACAUCAUUAUGAAUCUAACGCAACUUGAACGGACAAAAACGGAAUUAAAAUGUAAAAUCUAUGGGUUAAACGGCGUUGCAGGGGUCUAAACGUAAUUAACCGUAGACUUGGAGGGUUAGCAAGGAAAUUUUGCAAGACACCAGGAAUAGUGCUCGCGAAAAGGUGAAAACUCGGGGUUAGGUCUGCAAAAGGUCAAGGCUUGGAUUAGAUUGAAAGAAUGCAAGAAUUACAGGGGCCUCACUGAAAGAUUUACAAGACACAAGAAUUAAGAAAAAGAAAAUAGGAGAGGUCAGGGGCUAGAUUGAAAAGUGGCACCUCAUCUUCUUCCUCACGCCAGGAGCAUGGCGCAGCUCCUGGCCGGCGGCCUGCCGGGGCUCCGGUGCGGCGGGGACUCGGGUGGGUGGUCCAGGCGGUGGUGGCCGGGCUGCUGGCCCCAGCGGUGAUGUGCGGGCGGCAUCUCGGCCAGGAGCAGGCGGCGGACAGAGGGGCGCCUGCGAGCUGCGAGCAGAAAUAGAAGGAGUCUGUUGCAACUGUUGCAGAAACAAGGAAAAGAGAGAGAAAGAGGGGAUCGUCGGAAACGAAGUCCGAUCUCGCGCAUGAACGGCAAAAUGGAACGAUAUCGACGAGACGAAUAAGAUGGUGUGCUCACUUUCGACCAGAGAUGAAUAAUGGCGGCGGAAAAGCUCGCCGGAGUUGGGGAAGACGACGGAGCCGACAUCGGAUUCAUGCAAUCCACCACACCACGGCGUAGAGCUCGAAGAGAGGAACUCCAUGGUGGUGUCGGUUUUCGCCGGAAGUCCACGGUUUCGCCGGAAAAGCUCGCCGAAGUUUGACGAAGACCGAACUUUGACUUCAGAUCUACGGAGUUAGGAGAGGUAACUCGUGAAAAGGUUUGU